AAUACAUGCAUCUUUGCGUCAGCUCGAGUCUUUCCAUCGAUUUAUUUUCGUGGAAUUCCCUCGUGUCUCCUAGAAAGUUUCCAAGUCGUGACCUGCUCACGCAUUUUACCUUAUUUUCCCCCCAGAGUCUCUGUCUCCCUAGUGAGUGUGUUACUCCUAUGCACUUUCAAUCUUUCUCUGAUUUCUUUUUCCUUUGUGGCCAUAGUUUCCCCACAGAAUAUUAACUUUUGCAUGCAUACAUUUGCAUCAUGAGGUCUCUUAGGGACCAAAAUUCG
rnacentral:lncRNA from 1 species